GAUGAACGCUGGCGGCGUGCUUAACACAUGCAAGUCGAACGGAAAGGCCCAAGCUUGCUUGGGUACUCGAGUGGCGAACGGGUGAGUAACACGUGGGUGAUCUGCCCUGCACUUCGGGAUAAGCCUGGGAAACUGGGUCUAAUACUGGAUAGGACCACUUCUUGGAUGUUGUGGUGGAAAGUUUUUUCGGUGUGGGAUGAGCUCGCGGCCUAUCAGCUUGUUGGUGGGGUAAUGGCCUACCAAGGCGUCGACGGGUAGCCGGCCUGAGAGGGUGUACGGCCACAUUGAGACUGAGAUACGGCCCAGACUCCGACGGGAGGCAGCAGUGGGGAAUAUUGCACAAGGGGCGCAAGCCUGAUGCAGCGACGCCGCGUGGGGGAUGACGGCCUUCGGGUUGUAAACUCCAUUCGCUAGGGACGAAGCGUUUUGUGACGGUACCUGGAGAAGAAGCACCGGCUAACUACGUG
rnacentral:rRNA from 1 species